GGUGGAUGAUGUGGAUUAAUUCGAUGCAACGCGAAGAACCUUACUACCCUUGACAUGUCCGGAACUUGCCAGAGAUGGCUUGGUGCCCGAAAGGGAAUCGGAACACAGGUGCUGCAUGGCUGUCGUCAGCUCGUGUCGUGAGAUGUUGGGUUAAGUCCCGCAACGAGCGCAACCCUUAUCAUUAGUUGCUACGCAAGGGCACUCUAAUGAGACUGCCGGUGACAAACCGGAGGAAGUGGGAUGACGUCAAGUCCUCAUGGCCCUUAUGUCCAGGGCUACACACGUGCUACAAUGGGCGAGACAGAGCGACGCGAAGCCGCGAGGUGGAGCAAAUCGCAGAAAAUCGCCCUCAGUUCGGAUUGGAGUCUGAAACCCGACUCCAUGAAGGUGGAAUCGCUAGUAAUCGCGCAUCAGCAUGGCGCGGUGAAUACGUUCCCGGGCCUU
rnacentral:rRNA from 1 species